AGCUUUGCGCAGCGGCAGUAUCGUAGCCAAUGAGUUUUAUCCGAGGCGCGAUUAUUGCAAAUUGAAAACAACAAUGUUAGGAGACAGGUACUACAGUUAUUAUGUCAGUAAGGCACUGAGAGGUUAUGUAAUUUGCACAAAGUCACCUGGC
rnacentral:snRNA from 1 species